rnacentral:rRNA from 1 species
GGAAUCUUGGACAAUGGGGGCAACCCUGAUCCAGCCAUGCCGCGUGAGUGAUGAAGGCCCUAGGGUUGUAAAACUCUUUCGGCGGGGACGAUAAUGACGGUACCCGCAGAAGAAGCCCCGGCUAACUUCGUGCCAGCAGCCGCGGUAAUACGAAGGGGGCUAGCGUUGUUCGGAAUUACUGGGCGUAAAGCGCGCGCAGGCGGUCCUUCAAGUCAGGGGUGAAAGCCCAGAGCUCAACUCUGGAACUGCCUUUGAGACUGUAGGACUUGGGUAUGGGAGAGGUGAGUGGAAUUCCGAGUGUAGAGGUGAAAUUCGUAGAUAUUCGGAAGAACACCGGUGGCGAAGGCGGCUCACUGGCCCAUUACCGACGCUCAGGCGCGACAGCGUGGGGAGCAAAC